rnacentral:rRNA from 1 species
AAAGGGUGCGUAGGCGGCCUGAUAAGUCCGGGGUGAAAGCCCGUUGCUCAACAACGGAACUGCCCUGGAUACUGUGAGGCUUGAGUACAGACGAGGUUGGCGGAAUGGACGGAGUAGCGGUGAAAUGCAUAGAUACCGUCCAGAACCCCGAUUGCGAAGGCAGCUGACUAGGCUGUUACUGACGCUGAGGCACGACAGCGUGGGGAGCGAACAGGAUUAGAUACCCCAGU